UACGGGGGGGGCAAGCGUUGUUCGGAAUUACUGGGCGUAAAGGGUUCGUAGGUGGCCAACUAAGUCAGACGUGAAAUCCCUCAGCUUAACUGGGGAACUGCGUCUGAGACUGGAUGGCUUGAGUACAGGAGAGGAACGCGGAAUUCCAGGUGUAGCGGUGAAAUGCGUAGAUAUCUGGAGGAACACCGGUGGCGAAGGCGGCGUUCUGGACUGCAACUGACACUGAGGAACGAAAGCCAGGGGAGCAAACGGG
rnacentral:rRNA from 1 species